rnacentral:lncRNA from 1 species
AGACCUGAAGUUCCAAUGGUUCUGGGUCUAGAUCCUAAACCAACAUGGUAGAACCCUAACCUAUAACUAUGAGCAAUGUGAAAAUUGGAUGAGAAAACCCUAGUUUGCUAAUAUCGCUCACGGAAGUCUAGUUGCUGAUAGUUGAGAGUCAUUGCUACUAUCUUUUAUUUGUAACGGAAUCUCGUAGAGUUGGUCAUGCAAUGCUAAUUGCAAUAGGGAAAGUUGGAAUCAUAAACUAGACAAUCAUGAUGGAAAGA